AACAAGGCGUACCUGCGGACCUGCGGAGGGAUCAUUAACCUUUCAAAUCAGGGUGCGGCGCGGCCCCCGAGGAGCGGAAACAAUCCUUGGGAGGUAUGCGGGGGCUUCGAGCCCCCCAUUUACGCACGCACGACUGCCAUCCUUACUUUACGAGCACCUUCUGUUCUCCCUCGGCGGGGCAACCUGCCGUUGGAACCGAAUAAACUCCUUUUGCAUCUAGCAUUACCUGUUCCGAAACAA
rnacentral:misc_RNA from 1 species